AAAAAGACAAACCCUAAGUUUUCGUGUCCAACGUUUGACCGUCCGUCUUAUUUAAAAAAUUUAUAAAAAAAAUUAAAAAGACAAGUUACGUAUAAAAUAUUAAUCAUGUUUUAUCAUCUAAUAAUAAUGAAAAUACUAAUUAUAAAAGAAUUUUAUAUAAGACGAAAAGUCAGGGUUUGUC
rfam:Oryza glumipatula chromosome 9, whole genome shotgun sequence.